UCUUAAUUCUCUCUAUAUCUCUCCUCCUCUUCCAGCAACCACUCACCACCACCGUUUCUACUCCUCUUUCGUCCACGACCACCACAACCACCUUUACCUCUAUCAUUAUCACCGCUACUAUCUCCGCCGACAAUAUAACUUAGAACAAUUGAAAUUAUAAUUUGAAGAAUUCAUCUCCAAAAACAAAUUUACUGGUAAAUGAAUGAAAGUAUCAAUUGAACGAUUUCAGAUUUAAACUUUCUGAUACCAAUUUUACUAUUUAAUUGAUCGAUUAUGGUGGUUCCGGUUGGAAUGGUAAAAUUGGAGAUAGAGAUAGUGGUGGUUCUGAUUGUUUGUGGUGGUGGGUAGUGUUGUUGCAGCGGUGGUGGUAGAUGUUUCGGGUAUUUGGAAAAUUGAUACAAUGGAGCUAUUAUUCCUUAUGGCUUCCAAUGAAGACUCUUUAAUUAGAACAGAUGGCGGUUGUUGGACAUUCUGAGGGGCCAUCAUUCGUUGCCAGCCGAAUGCAAUUUGUAUUCAGUACUCUAGAGGUAGUCAGUCCACAAUGGCCAAUUAUUUAGUUGCAAAACUCGAUGUUUUAGGUCAAUUAAAGUUCAGAAGAUGAGGAAACUUUCAAAGAAUAAAAAAGAUCAUUGAUCACGCAACACAUGUUCAAGGAAUAAUUGACAUUUGUGUCCAAGCACCAAAAUAUACCGUUCUUAACCAACAAUGGAUGUUGCUAGAAAGUGUGAAGGUUAAGGGGCUGGAGAUGAUUUUGUUCCGCUUCCUAUAACUAAGGAAUGUAUCGAGACAUAUCAGCAGAGGACGUCUUCUUUACACAUCUGAAUAUCAAGGACACGGAUGUCUCGUUGGAGAUGCUUUUAGGAUCAACUUCACUCCAUUUCUUUUUUCUUUUUGGGAUCAACUUCGGUUGUUGACACCAUUUCUUUUUUCUUCUUGGGAUCAACUUCGGUUGUUGACACCACCGAUGACGGUAGGAGCUAGCGGCGAAAUGGUGGUGGCGAUGGGUGGCAGCGGACAGGUGGUGGCGGCGGCGGCGGCGGGUGGCGAUGGACUGGUGGUGGUGACGGCGAUGACGGUGGUAGUGGUGGAAUAUUAGUGGCGAUGGAGGUUGGUAGGUGGUGGUCGUUGAGCGGUGGUGGUGGAAUGGUAGUUGAAUUUUGGUGGUGGUGGUCGUAGAAUGGUAGUUAAAUAUUGGUGGUGGUGGAGCUAGUGGUGGGUGGCAGAGAAUAUUUUUUGUUGUAUUUUGAAAUAAAAAGAAUAUAAUAUAUGAGCGAGGGUAUUUAGGUAAUCUAGGGAUAAGGUUUUUAAAUGAUAGGAGUAUAUUUAUUGUUGUAGAAGAGUAUAUUUGUUGGAUGUUAAAACUAAGGGUAUAAUUAAUGUACCCGCGAAAUAUUUGGUGUAGACUUGAAAUGUUUCAUUAUGAUUAUUUCAAUAACUUGAAAAUUGCUUUGAUGCUAAUA